GACGAACGCUGGCGGCGUGCUUAACACAUGCAAGUCGAACGGAAAGGCCCUGCUUGCAGGGUACUCGAGUGGCGAACGGGUGAGUAACACGUGGGUGAUCUGCCCUGCACUUCGGGAUAAGCCUGGGAAACUGGGUCUAAUACCGGAUAGGAGCCAUUUUUAGUGUGAUGGUUGGAAAGUUUUUUCGGUGUAGGAUGAGCUCGCGGCCUAUCAGCUUGUUGGUGGGGUAAUGGCCUACCAAGGCGGCGACGGGUAGCCGGCCUGAGAGGGUGGACGGCCACAUUGGGACUGAGAUACGGCCCAGACUCCUACGGGAGGCAGCAGUGGGGAAUAUUGCACAAUGGGCGCAAGCCUGAUGCAGCGACGCCGCGUGGGGGAUGGCGGCCUUCGGGUUGUAAACUCCUUUCGCUAGGGACGAAGCUUUUGUGACGGUACCUAGAUAAGAAGCACCGGCUAACUACGUG
rnacentral:rRNA from 1 species